UUUGUUGUAAAAGUUGGCCUCAUGAUAGCUUAAAACUCCUGCUGGUGUAGAAUCGUGGCUUGCACGAGAUAUUUUAUGACAAAAAUCUGGGCUCUUGAUUUUCAAAUGGCUUUUAAAAAGAUCGCCAUGAGCUCCGGCGGUGCCGCGUGGAGGAAUUAGCGCCGCCGCGAUAUUAGGGCAGAGACAUCAUCAUCCCCUUUUCCUACCUGUAUCAUUUUCUUCGCAGCAUCUCUCUUCUUAUUCAACAGGAAAGAAACAAAAACGCCAGGAAUAUCUCGUACAUGCGUGCCACAUGAUCUGCCGAGAAUUUGCUUCGUGAGGCGAAAAAUUCUCUGCUCCAAAAUCCAAAUCCUUUUCUGUCCUUGACCACCGUCUUCAGUGCCCAUCACGCAGCCCGAGUAAUUCACGAGCGUGCCUGAAAAUUUGCAAACCGUUGGAUUCUGAAACUUCCAUAAAUCCGUGCUUAUGGAAGUGGUAAAACAAAUCUGAGUUUACUCACCGGAGCCGUACCGGAACGAUUCCUUCCGUGGAAUCCCGGCAUUGCCUGCUUCAACGCCGAUGCAAGUGCGGGGUACUUAGUCGCAGAUCACGAGGCUAAUUAAUCGAUCAGUUUAGUGAUCAGUGAGGCUUGCUUUGCCCUCACUUCGCUGGAAGCACAGCAUUAUUCGGCACCGGCAGUGACGGACGAAGAGGCGCCUUUCCUCUCCCCGACAAAGCGACGGGGGCGCUGCCAGUGCUGGAUGCGGGGAAUCCAGGGGCAGGAUGGGCUCCCACGUGUACGGACCGGCCAUAUCGGACGGUGGUGAGGUACUCUGGAGUCGAGCCAUGACACCGGCA
rnacentral:lncRNA from 1 species